rnacentral:piRNA from 1 species
UAUCAUCAAUAGUUUUCGCAGGGCACGC